CCCUUAGAUGUUCUGGGCCGCACGCGCGCUACAAUGAUUGUCUCAGCAUGUUUUGGGUGUGUAAAUACCCAGGAAUCCCGAGUAACAAUCGUGAUGGGGCUAGACCCUUGCAAUUUUUGGUCUCCAACGAGGAAUUCCUAGUAAAGGCAGGUCAUUAACCUGCCUUGAUUACGUCCCUGCGCUUUGUACACACCGCCCGUCGCACCUACCGAUUGAAUGGUCCGGUGAAAUCUCCAGACGUGGUUUUACCAUGAAAGCUGAUUGAACCUUAUCAUUUAGAGGAAGGUGAAGUCGUAACA
rnacentral:rRNA from 1 species